CCUCCAGUCUGAGAGACCUGGACCUGAGUAACAGCAACCUGCAGGAUUCAGGAGUGAAGCUUCUCUCUGCUGGACUGAAGAGUCCUCACUGUAAACUUGAAACCCUCAGGUUCACUGGAUGUAACCUGUUAGAGAGAAGCUGUGAAGCUCUUUCCUCAGUCCUCAGCUCCCAGUCCUCCAGUCUGAGAGACCUGGACCUGAGUAACAACGACCUGCAGGAUUCAGAAGUGAAGCUCCUUUCAUCUGGACUGAAGAGUCCUCACUGUAAACUGGAAACUCUCAGUCUGUCAGGAUGUCUGAUCACAAAGACAGGCUGUGCUUCUCUGGCCUCAGCUCUGAGCUCCAACCCCUCCCACCUGAGAGAGCUGGACCUGAGCUACAACCAUCCAGGAGACUCAGGAGGGAAGCUGCUG